UCCCUGGAAGCUCAGACAAUAAAGAAUCUGCCUGCCGUGCAGGAGACCCAGGUUCAAUCCCUGGUUCGGGAA
rnacentral:tRNA from 1 species